GGAAGAGGCAGCUCCUGUGGGAAAGAAGCUUCUAAGGACCAGACAUCCAAAUGAGAAGAGCAUUUGGACCACAGCCCAUGUGUAAGGACUUGUUGAAUGAAAUACAGUACAUUCACAAGAUGGAACCUUCUGCAGAUGAAGACAGGAUGAGGCAAACCCCCACAUGCUGACAUGGAGUGAUAUCCAGGUAUGCUGUCAGGUGUAAAAAGCCAGGUACAGA